rnacentral:lncRNA from 1 species
AGGGGAAGAUAAAGGAAGCAGGAGCCCAGGGGAAUGGAGACUGACUGAGCUGUGAGCAGGAGCAAGUCUACCAGGAGAGCAGGGCCUUCUACAUCCCUGUGUUAGAAGCCUGCAGAGCACCAGGCCGACUCUUAGCAAGGUCACAGCUGACAGCAAUACCUCUAUCAAUCAAACUGCAUGUCACUUACAUUCUCCCAGUGCCAGCAGACCAGUAAUGCAGUCCCAGGCUGUACUGUAAUGCAGACGUGGAGAGCACAAACUCACUCAGUGAGUCAGGUUAACAGCACCUAAUAUCAAAAUUAGACAAAAACAUCAGAAAAGUCACAGAAAAAUAAAUCUCAUGAGCACAGACCUGAAAAUCUUCAACAGAUAUUUAACAAAUUCAUGCUUCCUCCAAAAGGCCACACUUUCUUAUCCUUCCCAAACAGUUCCACCAAGUGGGGACCAAGUAUUCAGACAUAUGAAGCUAUGGGACCAUUUUCCCUCAAACUGCCACAAUGGGAAAAUAGAUUUCAUAGGACUCUGAAAUACAUAAACUCUUUUUGAGGUUUCCAAAAACUGGUGCUGUGACCAGUGCUUUCUCUGCUCUUGUUUGUGGAUGGGGAUGUGAGCUUCCUCCUGUCCCUGACACCUCGUUCUGCUGUCACCAGACUCUGAUGCCCUGAAACUAUAAACCUAAGUAAAUGCCUUUUAUAAGUUGCCUUGGUCAUGGUGUUUUGCAACCGCAAUAAAAAAGUUACUAAGGCACCUAGAUAGCAGCUUUCCCUAAGCACUGAAACGUCCACCCAACCAUACCAUUCCCAUAAUGCCCUGGGAGGAGCACCCACAGUGCCUUGGUGUUCAUGGGGCUACAUAGAUAUAUUAACACAUAGACAUGCUAGCACAUGGCCUGUGGUGUUCCCUUGAGAGUGGCAAUUCCUGUCAAUACAGUUUCGUCACCUUACUAUCCAGCCCACCCAGCUCCUAGUACAGUACAUUUGCCCAGGGGUUGAAUGAAUUCAUCCACCUUGGACAUUUUUUUAAAAGGUUCUAACAUCUAACAGUAUGCACAUUAAUAAAUUUUUAUACAAGUAAUAUAUUUCAUAGAGUCUUUAAUCUUAGUUUUUGCUCUGUGAAUAAAGUUAGUAAUAAAAACCUGAAAUUUUAUUUCAAGGGUAAAAUAAAGUUUGUUUUCCCUAGAUCUGAGCCACAUCUCCUGCCAUCCUCUUUCAAGGAUGAGGCGACUGAAUCAUCAUACUCCAGGGUCAUAAUGUGUUUCCCACUGCAAGCAUGCAUCUGUGUUUUCAAGCCAGAGUUAGAGAAACUUUGGGUAGGCAGGGAUAGGUUCAUUUCCCACCUGUGGUUUUAUUACUCCAAGUUAUUAUUUCCUUUGUAAGUCUUUCAACUCUGUUUUUCCUCGAGGUAUCUGGGCUUAUUAUUGGUUAGGUUUCCGCCAUCUUUAAUUUGUAGUUGAAGCUUGCUGGCAGCCGCUGGAACAGUUCUCCUGGAGAUGCUGUGUGCCUGGGUGGACCCGUCAGAUGGGGCCAGCGGGUCUCAGCCUCCUUUCACUUUGUUGGUUAUUAGACAAGAAAUCUGCUUAGAGACCCCAGCUCUGGCAAUAUGUUGGCCACUUUGAUUGACAUGCUCCCAUUCCAUGUCACUCUAACAUAGCUAUCUGAACCCCUCGUGGGACCUGGAGAGUUGAUGGUGUGUUGUGUCCUUAAGGAUAUCUCUUGACAAAAAUGGACCAGUUUCCAUGAACACUUUGUUAUUUUAUCUGGUUUAUUUAUUUUUAUGCUUUGCCUGCAUGUAUGUCUAUGAAUCAUGAGUGUUCCUGGUGCCCAUGGAAUUCAGAAGAAGGUGCUAGAUCCCAAGGGAUAGGAGUUAUAGAUGGCUGUGAGCUGCCAUGUGGGUGCUGGGAAUUGAGCUUUGGCCCUCCGGAACUUCAGCCAGUGUUCUUAACCACUGAGUCAUCUCUCUAGCUCAUGUUUGUUAUUCUAUAAUAGAUAUCUUGCAGUCGUGGUGGGAGAUGAUAUGACCAAAUAAUUUGUCAGAUGUUGUCAUCUGACUUUUGGGUACUCGAUAAUAGAAUCUUUACACCACAUGGCCUAAGUAAGGACUGUGAUUGUCCCCAUCUUAGGGAUAGACAACGACCACCCAGGGAUUGAGUCAUUUGUCACUACUGUGGCUAAUCUACCAUAUGCCAGGAUCAGGAGUGGUGUGGUCACCUGGAGUUAUGACCUUUCUCAUUCUGACGUUGCUCCAAUAGAUUUCUGUCUAGUGGAUUGCCUGUGACAGCGGUCUGUACGUCUGUCACGCACUUUGGGAACCACUCGCCACUGUGGCUGUUGAACACUUGAAAUGUGUUUAGCCAGAUGCUAUCGACAGCUAAUUUGUAUCUCAUUUGAACAUUGUCAAUUUAAGUGAAGCCCUUUGGAAUUACAAGGUAGAGCUGAGAAAUCCAGACGUUCUGAUGGAGGACCAUGUUCUAAAACAAAUGUCCUCGUCUUUGCCCCUACCGCAAAAAUGAGAAUCCUCAGCUUGCAGGCUCGAACCCCAUCCAUUCCCCACACCCAAUGAUGCUCAGGGCGCCAUGAUGAGUGGCUUCGUUUCAUUAAUUCAGUUUGGUUCCCAUGCUCCUCUCCUCCAGGUCCUAAAGCUCUCUGCUCCUUCUGGUUGCCUUUAGUUAGUGAUUUUAAUAACUAUUUCCCUGUAACUGAAUUUUGUGAAAGAAUAGGACAGAUAACUGAGUCAUUUGGAGCCUGUUUGGGGGAAUUUCAGUCUGCUGAGAUGUAUGUACACACAUGUAUCCCCUUAUUAUCUUUCGAAAGAUUCUAACAUGGUUGAGAAUAGAGUGAUUUUUUUUUUCUAUGUCAGUCAUAUCACCAAAGGCUGUUCACACGGCCCCUCGGGUGGUCCUUGCCAGGCACUGGGGGCUGUGAGCACCCCUGAGUGCCAGUUGCUUUCAGCAUCCCUUCGAGAUACAGGGUAGAGGGGGACUUUUGUUUUAAUUCCUACUGCCUAAUUCCAUCAGCCCUGGCCCCUCCUCCUCCCAGGGAAUGAAUGCCAACAACGUGCUUUUAACAUGAUCGCCUCACAGCAGUAAAUCAGGAAACUAGUUUUCGCAUGAACCACUUGAAGCAAGCUUCAAGCCUUUGGCAUGGUUUUCAAAGUAAGCUUUUCUAACCAAUUAUUGGGAUGACUUUCGUUAAUGU